AAGUUCUAUAAGCCAGGAAUUUUCGCGACAAAGUUUUGAAGUUUGGAGAGAGAAAAAGGGAAGAGAGUCUUGAAAUUUAUUAAUUCCUGGUAUUUACUACUUUUUUGAUGACAAAAUAAAACAAGAUUGUUGAUUGUUGCUAGUCCUUCUUUCUAUCUCUUGUUCUACAUAAAAACCAAAAGAAAUUCAUACAUUGUAAUGGCCAAUGUACUACUUGUGAAGUGAAAAUUAGAUUCAUUCAUCUCUAAUGAAGCAUAAGCAAUCAAGAUGGUAACAGUUUAAGAAUACAAAUAUUUUUAUAUAGAUAAAUAUAUUAUUUAAGUAUGAAAUUAUUUAUUUACCAUUUGAUUUUUUAUAUAUUAAGUAAUUUGUUUACUUACCCUUUCUAAUAUUUAAAGAUUGCAAAUAAGGUAACAUAACACCCUCUUAUUUUAAAAAUAUAAA